UACGAAGGGGGCUAGCGUUGCUCGGAAUCACUGGGCGUAAAGCGCACGUAGGCGGAUUGCUAAGUCAGGGGUGAAAUCCUAGAGCUCAACUCCAGAACUGCCUUUGAUACUGGCGACCUUGAGUCCGGGAGAGGUGAGUGGAACUGCGAGUGUAGAGGUGAAAUUCGUAGAUAUUCGCAAGAACACCAGUGGCGAAGGCGGCUCACUGGCCCGGUACUGACGCUGAGGUGCGAAAGCGUGGGGAGCA
rnacentral:rRNA from 1 species